rnacentral:rRNA from 1 species
CGUAGGUGGCGAGCGUUGUCCGGAUUUAUUGGGUUUAAAGGGCGCGUAGGCGGUCCUAUAAGUCAGUGCUGAAAUAUCCCGGCUUAACCGGGAGGGUGGCAUUGAUACUGCAGGACUUGAGUAAAGUUGAGGUUGGCGGAAUUGACGGUGUAGCGGUGAAAUGCUUAGAUAUCGUCAAGAACACCGAUAGUGUAGACAGCUAACUAAGCUUUAACUGACGCUGAGGCACGAAAGUGUGGGGAUCAAACAGGAUUAGAUACCCUGGUAGUCCACACUGUAAACGUUGAUUACUCGAUGUUGGCGAUACACUGUCAGCGUCUUAGCGAAAGCGAUAAGUAAUCCACCUGGGGAGUACGCCGGCAACGGUG